rnacentral:rRNA from 1 species
UGGGGAAUAUUGGACAAUGGGCGCAAGCCUGAUCCAGCCAUGCCGCGUGUGUGAAGAAGGCCUUUUGGUUGUAAAGCACUUUAAGCGAGGAGGAGGCUACUUGGAUUAACACUCUAGGAUAGUGGACGUUACUCGCAGAAUAAGCACCGGCUAACUCUGUGCCAGCAGCCGCGGUAAUACAGAGGGUGCGAGCGUUAAUCGGAUUUACUGGGCGUAAAGCGUGCGUAGGCGGCUUCUUAAGUCGGAUGUGAAAUCCCUGAGCUUAACUUAGGAAUUGCAUUCGAUACUGGGAAGCUAGAGUAUGGGAGAGGAUGGUAGAAUUCCAGGUGUAGCGGUGAAAUGCGUAGAGAUCUGGAGGAAUACCGAUGGCGAAGGCAGCCAUCUGGCCUAAUACUGACGCUGAGGUACGAAAGCAUGGGGAGCAAACAGG